rnacentral:rRNA from 1 species
GCUUCUCCUAAAGACUAAGCCAUGCAUGCCUUCGAAUACGAGGAAGCAAUUCUCUCUGAAUCUGCGAACGGCUCCGAAACCAGUUGUAAACUAUAGCAAGCAUGCUCGGGAUUUGGCCCUCACGGGUUGGGUUUCGGGUGAUAAGGAUAACCCUGGUAAUUCUGAGGCUAAUACUAGAACGCAAAAACUUGACUGACCGGUUUUACUGGGAGGUUGGGGGGCGUGCAAGUGGGUUUCGCAUAGGAUAACCGGGAAGGGGUGCACGUUUGGACCGCGAUAAAGACAGACUGGUUUCGGCCGGCCUGAGCGGCACUUGCGUUGUGCUUCUGACCUAUCAACUAGAUGGCAGCGUAACGGACAUGCUAUGGUUGCAACGGGUACAGAGGAUUAGGGUUCGAUCCUGGAGAGUGGGCCUGAGAGAUUGCUCAUACUUCUAAGGAAGGCAGCAGGCGCGCAACGUUCCCCUUGGACAAUGUCCGAGGGCGUUAGGGGACAUAUGAAUGCCUGCCUUUUUGGUGGGCAAUUCAAAUGGGUCUGUUCUAAACAGUCUCUCGAGUAACAAU